GUAAUAUUUACAUGCAUUCCGAGGGAGCCGCUCCCCUCCUGCACGCACAGCCUUCACUCCCCAGCACAACAGCUGACAUAAAAACUGAUUAUAUGAAGAAUCUGGUGAUUAUGGAAAUACAACAGCUUGGCUGACAUGAGGUCUGUUCACAUCAGAACUAGUUUCAUUACUCUCUUGUGCGAUGACUUGUCAGUCGUACCUCAGACGUUGUGUAUGCACAGGUGAACAGGAGACUCAGUCAUACCAGUUACAAUGGAGCAGAGAGAAUAAAGCACACAAGAAAUGUGAGGUUAGUAGUACAAGUAACUGCAGUGAGGGAUUGUGUGUUGUAAGUAGCAUUGAGAAUGACUGACACUAUACUAUAUACAAGAACACAGAGCACUGAUCCAGAUAUUCAGUGCUUCUUAAAACAGCACAAUUUAAUAUCAGCAGCAUCUGGCUUGCCAAACUUUAUUCGUCAACAUUUAACCACAUUUUUACUUUUGCAAAAAAGUAAGAAGAAAUCCAACUCAUUGUAGUCAGUUAAAAUAUUGGUUUUAUUAUGAUUUCAGACUUCUGGAGUUGGACUUAUAAAAUAGCAAAUGAAUAGUUUCUGAAUCAGAACCAGUACUGCCAGUAUCUUUCCAAGCUUUCUUCUUGACUUAUACAGAAUUGCUCUUUAAAAAGUGAUGACAGAUGGAGACUUAAAGACUGACACGAGUAAUUAAUUAU